GACGAACGCUGGCGGCGUGCCUAAUACAUGCAAGUAGAACGCUGAAGGAGGAGCUUGCUUCUCUGGAUGAGUUGCGAACGGGUGAGUAACGCGUAGGUAACCUGCCUGGUAGCGGGGGAUAACUAUUGGAAACGAUAGCUAAUACCGCAUAAGAGUAGAUGUUGCAUGACAUUUGCUUAAAAGGUGCAAUUGCUUCACUACCAGAUGGACCUGCGUUGUAUUAGCUAGUUGGUGGGGUAACGGCUCACCAAGGCGACGAUACAUAGCCGACCUGAGAGGGGGAUCGGCCACACUGGGACUGAGACACGGCCCAGACUCCUACGGGAGGCAGCAGUAGGGAAUCUUCGGCAAUGGACGGAAGUCUGACCGAGCAACGCCGCGUGAGGGAAGAAGGUUUUCGGAUCGUAAAGCUCUGUUGUAAGAGAAGAACGAGUGUGAGAGUGGAAAGUUCACACUGUGACGGUAUCUUACCAGAAAGGGACGGCUAACUACGUG
rnacentral:rRNA from 1 species